rnacentral:lncRNA from 1 species
AGAGUUACUGCAAUGUUCCAUUAUUGUCUUUUUUUGGUGAAAAAGCAUUUAAUUCUACAGCAAGCAUAUAAGGGCAGCGCCAUAUCCUUUUUUUUCUCUAGGUCUAGGGUUUCAGUUUUUUCUUCGCUAAAAAAAAAAGUCCAGGAUCAUGGAAGCGGCGGCGGUUGUUGGCGGCGCUGGUGAUUUCAGAUGCCAGAAAGUCGUUCACGGUGCAAUUUGAUGGCUUUGAGUGGAAAAACCUUGUGCUGGAAACAUCAUCCGUAGGUGAAAAGGAGUGUAGAGGAAAAUUGGAAGGCAGGAAAAUGACG